rfam:Danio rerio chromosome 20, GRCz11 reference primary assembly.
CAUUUCAGCCACAUCACCCUGCAGCCCAAGACCGGCUACUCACUGAAGCUAGGCAGAGCUGAGCCUGAGUAGUACCUGGAUGGGAGACCACAUGGGAAAGCUAGGUUGCUGUUGGAA